GCUUGUCUCAAAGAUUAAGCCAUGCAUGUCUAAGUAUAAACAACUUUGUACUGUGAAACUGCGAACGGCUCAUUAUAUCAGCAAUUAUUUAUUUGAUGGUUUCUUACUACAUGGAUAACCGUAGUAAUUCUAGAGCUAAUACAUGCGUAAAAUCCCGACUCUCGCGGGGAGGGAUGUAUUUAUUAGAUUAAAAGCCAAUGCGGGCUUCUGCCCGGUAUUGUGGUGAGUCAUAGUAACUUUUCGAAUCGCAUGGCUUCACGCCGGCGAUAGUUCAUUCAAAUUUCUGCCCUAUCAGCUUUCGACGGUAGUGUAGUGGACUACCGUGGCAUUUACGGGUGACGGAGAAUUAGGGUUCGAUUCCGGAGAGGGAGCCUGAGAAACGGCUACCACAUCCAAGGAAGGCAGCAGG
rnacentral:rRNA from 1 species